CCCCCCGUGCCCAUCUCCUCUGGUCCCUGUAAGUCAGCUAGCAAUCAUCCAAAAGGACCCAGCACCAGCCAGAGGCAGGCCGGCCUGGAGACACAUGGGCCAGUCUCUUGGCCUUCUGUUUCCAUGCUGUGACCUGUCACAGGUCCCCUCAGACAGUGUAUUUUCCCUCUUUCCCAACCACUUUUCAGUGGGUAUCCACAAAGAAGUUAACACUGUGCCUCGGCCCUCGCGCCAGGGUGCCCGCCCAGAACAGUGCUUCCUGUUGCAGCCCUCACCCGGCCAGGCACAGGCCCAGUGCCUCUGUGGGACUCUGUCCAGGACUUGUUGAAAUGGCCGAUGAUACAAAAGAGCCCCGACUUCACCCAUGGCCAUCUUCCCUCGCCAUCCUCCCUGCGGGCAAAGGACUCGCCCUCACCUGUUCUUUCUGAGACAAAUCAUCUGCCAGGUUUCCGCCUCAGGACACCCAAGCUCAGCACAGACAGCCUAGCAGCCUGGUGACAGGAUCCCGGGGGACAGGAUUCUCUCCUUGCCAUGGGGAUGAGGACAAAUUCUCCCUUCAUCCUUGAGAUUGGACUCCCGCCACACAUCCUGGAGGAGCCUACGGAGAAGCCGGCAGGUCUCCCUCACCUGGAUGGUGGCAGCGGGUGGCCUGGACCACCCAGAGGCCCUCCCCUGCACCUGAUGGGAAGCCCCUGGGGCAUAAGUCUCCUCUGCCACUUCCACUGUGGCCACUAGAAGUGUGGCAGAGAAAAUCGCUAGGACAAAAAGAAGUCAAUGAUUUCAACCAACGGAAUUUCUUUGUCCUUUGUAAAAGUCAACACAUGAUCUGUUACUGAUUGGGAUGUAAAAUAAAACUAAAAAUAACAGCACACUGAGCCUGGCUCAGGGCUCAGCUCACCUUUA